CCUACGGGAGGCAGCAGUGGGGAAUAUUGGACAAUGGGGGGAACCCUGAUCCAGCCAUGCCGCGUGUGUGAAGAAGGCCUUUUGGUUGUAAAGCACUUUAAGCGAGGAGGAGGCUUACCUAGUUAAUACCUGGGAUAAGUGGACGUUACUCGCAGAAUAAGCACCGGCUAACUCUGUGCCAGCAGCCGCGGUAAU
rnacentral:rRNA from 1 species